GUGCUUUCUUUGGCAGCACAUUUACUAAUAUUGGAACGAUAGAGAGAUCACCAUGGCUCCUGUGUAAGGAUGACACGCAAAUUCAAAUUUGUGAAGCAACCCAUAUUU